rnacentral:tRNA from 1 species
GGGGUUGUGGCUCAGUGGUAGAGUGCCUGCCUAGUAUGCAUGAGACAUAAGGUUCAAUUCUCAGUACCA